rnacentral:rRNA from 11 species
CUUGUGGUACCACAAUAUCUUAAACACAUUCAAUCUCAUUUGAUUUUAGAUGCUAAACAGGGUUGGGACAGAUUAAUACUUAGAUGGAGGAUUACCAGGGAACACAUGGGAUAUCCAGGU